rnacentral:rRNA from 1 species
GAUGAACGCUGGCGGCGUGCCUAAUACAUGCAAGUCGAGCGAACAGACGAGGAGCUUGCUCCUCUGACGUUAGCGGCGGACGGGUGAGUAACACGUGGAUAACCUACCUAUAAGACUGGGAUAACUUCGGGAAACCGGAGCUAAUACCGGAUAAUAUAUUGAACCGCAUGGUUCAAUAGUGAAAGACGGUUUUGCUGUCACUUAUAGAUGGAUCCGCGCCGCAUUAGCUAGUUGGUAAGGUAACGGCUUACCAAGGCAACGAUGCGUAGCCGACCUGAGAGGGUGAUCGGCCACACUGGAACUGAGACACGGUCCAGACUCCUACGGGAGGCAGCAGUAGGGAAUCUUCCGCAAUGAGCGAAAGCCUGACGGAGCAACGCAGCGUGAGUGAUGAAGGUCUUCGGAUCGUAAAACUCUGUUAUUAGGGAAGAACAAAUGUGUAAGUAACGAUGCACGUCUUGACGGUACCUAAUCAGAAAGCCACGGCUAACUACGU